rnacentral:rRNA from 1 species
CCUACGGGGAGCAGCAGUGGGGAAUAUUGCGCAAUGGGCGAAAGCCUGACGCAGCGACGCCGCGUGAGGGAUGAAGGUCUUCGGAUCGUAAACCUCUGUCAGCAGGGAAGAACGGUCACUGUGCUAAUCAGCCGUGAAUUGACGGUACCUGCAAAGGAAGCACCGGCUAACUCCGUGCCAGCAGCCGCGGUAAUACGGGGGGUGCGAGCGUUAAUCGGAAUUACGGGGCGUAAAGCGCUCGUAGGCGGUAUGUCAAGUCAAGGGUGAAAUCCCCGCGCUCAACGUGGGAACUGCCUUUGAAACUGGCAAACUGGAGUGUGGUAGAGGAUAGUAGAAUUCCAGGUGUAGGAGUGAAAUCCGUAGAUAUCUGGAGGAACAUCAGUGGCGAAGGCGACUAGCUGGAACAUAACUGACGCUGAGGAGCGAAAGCGUGGGUAGCAAACAGGAUUAGAUACCCCAGUAGUC